UAUAACCGGCGAUACCCGAAUGGGGAAACCCAGUGUGACUCGUCACACUAUCAUUAACUGAAUCCAUAGGUUAAUGAGGCGAACCGGGGGAACUGAAACAUCUAAGUACCCCGAGGAAAAGAAAUCAACCGAGAUUCCCCCAGUAGCGGCGAGCGAACGGGGAGGAGCCCAGAGCCUGAAUCAGCAUGUGUGUUAGUGGAAGCGUCUGGAAAGGCGCGCGAUACAGGGUGACAGCCCCGUACACAAAAGCGCAUGUGCUGUGAGCUCGAUGAGUAGGGCGGGACACGUGGUAUCCUGUCUGAAUAUGGGGGGACCAUCCUCCAAGGCUAAAUACUCCUGACUGACCGAUAGUGAACCAGUACCGUGAGGGAAAGGCGAAAAGAACCCCGGCGAGGGGAGUGAAAAAGAACCUGAAACCGUGUACGUACAAGCAGUGGGAGCACCCUUUGGGUGUGACUGCGUACCUUUUGUAUAAUGGGUCAGCGACUUAUAUUCUGUAGCAAGGUUAACCGAAUAGGGGAGCCGGAGGGAAACCGAGUCUUAAUUGGGCGUUAAGUUGCAGGGUAUAGACCCGAAACCCGGUGAUCUAGCCAUGGGCAGGUUGAAGGUUGGGUAACACUAACUGGAGGACCGAACCGACUAAUGUUGAAAAAUUAGCGGAUGACCUGUGGCUGGGGGUGAAAGGCCAAUCAAACCGGGAGAUAGCUGGUUCUCCCCGAAAGCUAUUUAGGUAGCGCCUCGUGAAUUCAUCUCCGGGGGUAGAGCACUGUUUCGGCUAGGGGGCCAUCCCGGCUUACCAACCCGAUGCAAACUGCGAAUACCGGAGAAUGUUAUCACGGGAGACACACGGCGGGUGCUAACGUCCGUCGUGAAGAGGGAAACAACCCAGACCGCCAGCUAAGGUCCCAAAGUCAUGGUUAAGUGGGAAACGAUGUGGGAAGGCCCAGACAGCCAGGAUGUUGGCUUAGAAGCAGCCAUCAUUUAAAGAAAGCGUAAUAGCUCACUGGUCGAGUCGGCCUGCGCGGAAGAUGUAACGGGGCUAAACCAUGCACCGAAGCUGCGGCAGCGACGCUUAUGCGUUGUUGGGUAGGGGAGCGUUCUGUAAGCCUGCGAAGGUGGCCUGUGAGGGUUGCUGGAGGUAUCAGAAGUGCGAAUGCUGACAUAAGUAACGAUAAAGCGGGUGAAAAGCCCGCUCGCCGGAAGACCAAGGGUUCCUGUCCAACGUUAAUCGGGGCAGGGUGAGUCGACCCCUAAGGCGAGGCCGAAAGGCGUAGUCGAUGGGAAACGGGUUAAUAUUCCCGUACUUGGUGUUACUGCGAAGGGGGGACGGAGAAGGCUAUGUUGGCCGGGCGACGGUUGUCCCGGUUUAAGCGUGUAGGCUGGUUUUCCAGGCAAAUCCGGAAAAUCAAGGCUGAGGCGUGAUGACGAGGCACUACGGUGCUGAAG
rnacentral:rRNA from 1 species